rnacentral:hammerhead_ribozyme from 1 species
AUCCAGCUGAUGAGUCCCAAAUAGGACGAAGUGCACGUGCUGAAC